ACACCUCAACUCUCACGGUUUGCCGUGACGAGCUUGGACUUUGGGGGCUUUGCCGGCCUGUGGUUGGCUCCUCUCAAACGAAUCAGCUUGCCAGCGUUUUGGCGGCGUCACGGGUGUGAUAACUAUCUACGCUCGCGAUCGUCUGCCGAGUGACCUUCAGUGAUGGAGGUUCGCUGAAGCUUACAAACGUCUCUCCUCGGCGAAGACAGCUUUUUGAAC
rnacentral:misc_RNA from 1 species